rnacentral:rRNA from 1 species
AUUUGUCCAUUAAUUGAGGACUGGUAUGAACGGCUGAACAAGAAAUCAACUGUCUCUGCUAUAAAUUUUGAAAUUGACAUUUACGUGAAAAGGCUUAAUUGAGAUAGGGGGACGAUGAGACCCUAUAAAUCUUGAUGAUCAAAAUAAUGAUUUUUAUACAGUAGUUAUAAGUCUAAAGCUAAUAUUUUGAUUAUUUUGUUGGGGCGACAAAAGUAUAAUGAAUAACUGCCUUGAAGAAAUAGUUAAUUAUUUUUACUAUGUUUUGUUUGAGAUCAUUCUUUGAAGAUAUCAGAUCAAGUUACUUUAGGGAUAACAGCGUAAUCUUUCUUGAGAGUCCAUAUCGAAAGGAGGGGUUGCGACCUCGAUGUUGAAUUAAAGAACCUUUGUGGUGUAGCAGCUAUUUGAGGAGGUCUGUUCGACCUUUAAAUCUUU